AGCAGAGUGGCGCAGCGGACGCGGCGGGCCCAUAACCUAGAAGACGAUGGAUCGAAACCAUCCUCUGCUA